CCGUUGCUUUCUGCGUUUCCACCGCGGUGUAAAGUACCGGGAAGAUUAGGCACGCGUUUUUCAAUACGAAGUACGCUGAUUUUGGACGUGCAUCCUCGGUAGUUCAGAUUUUGUGCAUUCGACUCGAGAGUGUGAUGUCCGCGACGACACAAAUCCGGUAAUUCUGCAAACAGCAGCAUACUUGAAGACAUCAGUCAGCUCGCCUUGGCUACUGAACGUGGGUAAUGGUUCCUGGUUCAUCUUCUCGCUGUGUGAGAUGCUGUCAAAAUAUGCCAAGCUGAUCAUGACACGUGUUAACCACAAGGUGGCGCUGGACUUUAAAUCCUCCUCCAAUCUACCAGGGUUUGAUGGCAUGAAACAUCUCGGUUACGUAUGUACUCCCUAUUCACCCAUGACUGUGUUCCUCUUUAUGGCUCCAACACGAUGAGUCAGCCUGCAGGGAUGAGGUGCAGCACCUGGCUGUGUGGUGUGCCACCAACAACCUGGAACUAAACACCCAGAAGACAAAGGAGAUUAUUGUGGACUUCAGGCGGACUAGGAAUCAUGCACACACACCCAUCUACAUCAACGGAGCUGUAGUGGAACGUGUCGAGUUUCAAGUUCCUUGGCAUCCACAUCUCAGAUGACCUCACCUGGUCCCUAAACACCACCCUGGUCAAAAAGGCUCAGCAGCGCCUUUACUUCUUAUGGAGCCUUAAAAAAGUUCAAAAAAGAUCCUCAGUCCCAGGAUCCUUGCUGAAUUCUACCGAUGUACAAUAGAGAGCAUACUCACAAACUGCAUCUCAGUGUGGUACAGGAAUUGCUCCUCAUCUGACCGCAAAGCACUCCAGCGGGUGGUGAAAACUGCUCAACGGAUCACUGGCACCCAGUUAACCUCCAUCGAGAACAUUUAUCAGAAGCGCUGUCUGGGCAGGGCAAGAAACAUCAUCAAAGAUGCCUCUCACCCUAACCAUGAACUUUUCACCCUCCUUCCAUCUAGCAGGCAUUACAGGAGCCUACGCUCUCGAACUAGUAGACUCAGGAAGAGCUUCUUUCCUGAGGCUGUGACACUCCUGAACGCCACACCACCAAUCUAACCUGCACCUGCUCUUUUACUGCACUGGUCACAGUACUUUACAUACAUGUAUUGCACUACUCAUAUUUUGCACAGACUGCACAUGGUUAAAUCCAUUACACUAUAAACUGUCUAAGUUGUUACUGUACAAGCACAGUAGACUAUUUCUACAAAAGAAUCAUUGCACUACUGUUAUUUUGCAUAUAAUACAUUGUUCAACAAUACUUUUGCACACUCAUUCAACUGUAUUUAUUACCACGGUUCUCACGUUCCUGCUAUUCAUAAUGUAUAUAUAAUCCUUCAUUGCUCUGUUCAUAAUGUACAUACAAUCCCUACAUUGCGUUCAUAUUUAUAUUCUGUAUAUACUCUGAUCAAUAUUGUAUAUAGCAACUCCACUGUACAUUCAUCAUAGCUUUACUUACUCUGCACUUUUAUGUAUAUAAAACACUAUAUUCUUGCACUUCUGGUUAGAUGCUAACUGCAUUUCAUUAGCUCUGUACUUGUACUCUGCAUAAUGACAAUAAAGUUGAAUUGAAUCUAA